GGAACACCGAGCAUCACUGCGGCUGCUGCUCCUCAAGUGCUUUGGCGCCAUGUGCAGCCUGGAUGCAGCCAUCAUCUCCACGCUUGUGUCAUCCGUGCUGCCUGUAGAGCUGGCGAGGGACAUGCAGACAGACACGCAGGACCACCAGAAACUCUGUUACUCUGCCCUCAUCCUGGCCAUGGUCUUCUCCAUGGGAGAGGCAGUGCCCUAUGCACACUAUGAGCACCUGGGCACGCCUUUCGCCCAGUUCCUACUGAACAUCGUCGAGGAUGGGCUGCCCUUGGACACCACAGAGCAGCUGCCGGACCUCUGCGUGAACCUGCUUCUGGCUCUCAACCUGCACCUGCCAGGUGGGGUGGGGCCUGGCUGGGCGGUGGCUGAGCACAUGGUGGCUCUCAGGCUCAGCACCCUGUCUAUACCCAUGUCCUUCCUUAGCUGCUGACCAGAAUGUCAUCAUGGCUGCCCUGAGCAAACACGCCAAUGUCAAGAUCUUCUCCGAGAAGCUGUUGUUGCUCCUGAACAGAGGGGAUGACCCUGUGCGCAUCUUCAAACAUGAGCCACAGCCACCACACUCUGUCCUCAAGUUCCUGCAGGACGUGUUUGGCAGCCCGGCCACAGCUGCCAUCUUCUACCACACAGACAUGAUGGCUCUCAUUGACAUCACUGUGCGGCACAUCGCAGACCUGUCACCAGGAGACAAGCUGCGCAUGGAGUACCUCUCCCUGAUGCAUGCUAUAGUCCGCACCACACCCUACCUGCAGCACCGCCACCGGCUACCCGACCUGCAGGCCAUACUGCGACGCAUCCUGAAUGA
rnacentral:lncRNA from 1 species